ACUCCUACGGGAGGCAGCAGUGGGGAAUAUUGGACAAUGGGGGGAACCCUGAUCCAGCCAUGCCGCGUGUGUGAAGAAGGCCUUAUGGUUGUAAAGCACUUUAAGCGAGGAGGAGGCUACUGAGACUAAUACUCUUGGAUAGUGGACGUUACUCGCAGAAUAAGCACCGGCUAACUCUGUGCCAGCAGCCGCGGUAAUACAGAGGGUGCGAGCGUUAAUCGGAUUUACUGGGCGUAAAGCGUGCGUAGGCGGCUUUUAAGUCGGAUGUGAAAUCCCCGAGCUUAACUUGGGAAUUGCAUUCGAUACUGGGGAAGCUAGAGUAUGGGAGAGGAUGGUAGAAUUCCAGGUGUAGCGGUGAAAUGCGUAGAGAUCUGGAGGAAUACCGAUGGCGAAGGCAGCCAUCUGGCCUAAUACUGACGCUGAGGUACGAAAGCAUGGGAGCAAACAGGAUUAGAUACCCCUGGUAGGAUAGCG
rnacentral:rRNA from 1 species